rnacentral:rRNA from 1 species
CGGACGGGUGAGUAACGCGUGAGAAUCUGCCCUCAGGAGGGGGAUAACGGCUGGAAACGGCCGCUAAUACCCCAUAUGCCGAGAGGUGAAAUGAAUUUCGCCUGAGGAUGAGCCCGCGUCUGAUUAGCUAGUUGGUGGGGUAAGAGCCUACCAAGGCGACGAUCAGUAGCUGGUCUGAGAGGAUGAUCAGCCACACUGGGACUGAGACACGGCCCAGACUCCUACGGGAGGCAGCAGUGGGGAAUUUUCCGCAAUGGGCGAAAGCCUGACGGAGCAACGCCGCGUGAGGGACGAAGGCCUCUGGGCUGUAAACCUCUUUUCUCAAGGAAGAAGAUCUGACGGUACUUGAGGAAUAAGCCACGGCUAAUUCCGUGCCAGCAGCCGCGGUAAUACGGGAGUGGCAAGCGUUAUCCGGAAUUAUUGGGCGUAAAGCGUCCGCAGGCGGCCUUGUAAGUCUGCUGUCAAAACGUGGAGCUCAACUCCAUUUCGGCAGUGGAAACUACGAGGCUUGAGUGUGGUAGGGGCAGAGGGAAUUUCCGGUGUAGCGGUAAAAUGCGUAGAUAUCGGGAAGAACACCAGUGGCGAGGGCGCUCUGCUGGGCCAUAACUGACGCUCAUGGACGAAAGCCAGGGGAGCGAAAGGGAUUAGAUACCCCUGUAGUC